AGCGGCAUGGCAUCAACGGGGCGGCCGCGGACCUCUUCCUGGUGGGCGGGGACAAGCCUCUGGUGCUGCACCAAGACAGUAGCAUCUUGGAGUCAAGGGACCUGCGCCUAGAAAAGCGCACCUUGUUUCGGCUGGAUCUUGUUCCGAUUAACCGGUCAGUGGGACUCAAGGCCAAGCCCACCAAGCCCGUCACGGAGGUGCUGCGGCCCGUGGUGGCCAAAUACGGCCUGGACCUCAGUGGCCUGCUGGUGAGGCUGGUGAGUGUUGCACGGGGCCCGGGCGUCGUCACCGCAGGCACUGUCUGUUCCCUUUGGCAGCCUCUGUGUUGUUCACUGAAGAGGGCACACCAAGAAGCGGUGUCUUCCCCUGAUCUGGUUGUCCCCCUUGGAGGAGAGGGCACAGCCUCUGCCAUCCCCAGUUCUCGUUCUGUGCAGUGGGAGCCAUCAUGGUUUAUUUGUACCUUGGUCAUUCCAAAAAGAAU
rnacentral:sRNA from 1 species